rnacentral:rRNA from 1 species
CAUACGGGUGGCAGCAGUGGGGAAUAUUGCACAAUGGGGGAAACCCUGAUGCAGCGACGCCGCGUGAGUGAAGAAGUAUUUCGGUACGUAAAGCUCUAUCAGCAGGGAAGAAAAAAAGUCCUUUGGACUUUGGACGGUACCUGACCAAGAAGCCCCGGCUAACUACGUGCCAGCAGCCGCGGUAAUACGGAGGGGGCAAGCGUUAUCCGGAUUGACUGGGUGUAAAGGGAGCGUAGACGGCAGGGCAAGUCUGGAGUGAAAUGGCGGGGCCCAACCCCGGAACUGCUUUGGAGACUGUGCAGCGGGAGUGCAUGGGAGGUAAGCGGAAUUCCUAGUGUAGCGGUGAAAUGCGUAGAUAUUAGGAGGAACGCCAGUGGCGAGGGCAGCUUACUGGACUGUAACUGACGUUGAGGCUCGAAAGCGUGGGGAGCAAACAGGAUUAGAUACCCUAGUAGUC